GUUGCAAGAUGUAUUUGCAGUAUUAUAUACAGGCAUGGCUGCCCAAAGCGCAUUCUCUCUGACCAGGGAAGAGAGUUUGUGAAUGACCUUAACAACAGACUUUGUGAGUUGCUCUGCAUAGAGAGAAGCGUGGCUGCAGCCUAUCAUCCACAAACAAAUGGUCUGGAUGAAAAGACAAAUGACAGCAUCAAACGAGCCCUCAAGAAACUGGUUAAUGACCAACAAAAUGACUGGGAGAUUUAUCUUGAGGCAACUUUGUUUUCUCUGCGGUCCAAAAUUCACACUACCACAAAGUAC